CUCCUCACUGCUCACUGAUCUCUGCAGCAUUGGUUUCUUAUUGGGACAGCCCUUUGGUCUUCCCCUUUUCCGAGGUAUUGCAGAACAGUUGUCAUUUUCAACACUUUCUGCCUUGCAUUUCAUGGAGGAUCCUAUCGGAAGAGCACACAGUCUGA